UUCACAGGUUUGCAGAAAUUUUACGGGUUUGGAACCCCUUUCACUCAAAAUUCCCCAAUUUGAUUCCCAAAUCUCAAAAUAUGUUUCCAGAACAUGUUUACAGGUCACUAUGAUUAAAAAGACUCAUAAAGGCACAAUCAACCUUUAAAACACUUGACAUUUGAGCUAACUCUUCAUUUUCACCAAAACACCAACACAACUCAAAUUCUCAUCAUCAAUCCAUGAAUAUGCAAACCCAAGCAAUUAUUCAUUAAUCAUAUUAUCAAAUAACAUUCAUAACAUCAUUUGAACAAGCAUCACAUCUCAACUUAACAACAACUUAGGAGAAAUUCACCAAUUGAGCACAAUAUUCAUAACUUAUCAUUUUUGCAUAUAUGAACAUGUAAUUCCACCAACAAUCAUACAACUAACAUCAAUUCAUGCAUACAAACAUAACAUCACAGCAAGAGCACGAAUUUAGCAUGAAUUGUUCAUCAACCCAUUUUCAUACAACAUGAGUAGAUGCAAAAAUUACAUGAUUGUGAUAAUAACUAACCCCCUUACCUUUGAAGAAGAUUAACCCUAAUCCUUGCUUCAAUUCAGCUCCUAAGUCACCCACUUGAUUCCUAAAGCUCUUCUCU
rnacentral:lncRNA from 1 species